CUAACUGAAAUACCGAAAAAAACCGAACCGAACCGAAACCAACCUGAUAUCCGGAUUGAACACCCCUAAUCCAAAUGAAGCCAAACUAUUGUUUUAUUCUCCAAAAUAUAAUAAAAAUAAUAACUUAAUCCCGCGCAAGGCGCGGGUCUUAUCCUAGUAAAGUACUGUUUUACUCACUCCUGAAGCUGCCACAUCAGAUUCCAGCUCAGAAAGUCGUUGAAUCUGGAGUCGACACGUGUCCAAGAGAAUGAAACUCACCGUAUCAUUUAACUUUGAGUUACGUAGGUUAUUUUUGAUAUGGGCCUUAAAUUUGGUUGAUUCAACCAGCCCAGCAAAUAGUUUCUAUAAUUUAAACGCUGCUGCAAACGUCGUUUUGUGUAUUAGGGUUUCCACUUGAUGUCAUCUCCUCCCUUCGAUAUCACGACAUAACCAGAGGUCUGAGAGAUUGUUUCAGCUUCUUACUAACAAUCUCUAACAGUUACAUAUACCCCAUCUUAAAGUCCUUCUUAAAUUAUCACUCACGAUCUACCUUGAAUGCGAGCAUCUUCAUGCAAGGCGGUGGAACUUCGAUUAUAAAAAGAUCAGACAAGGCUCCUCCACCGUUCUCAAGUCCGGUUGCUCCGUUUCUGGGAAGCUAGGAACGUCCGUCGUCGCGGUGGCGAAGUCAUGGGAGUGGAUAUAGUUCUACAGGAUUCUCAGGCCACCAUGAUGCCGGUCACCGUGAAUGUCAACCGGCUUGCUGCUCACAGGCCUAAUCUGAAGGCGGGUUCAAUUUAUUCCCUAACCGGUUUUGAUCUGACCCGAUGUAAUCAGAAUUACGGUCUGUUGGACACCUCUAUGUUGAUCCGUUUCAGUAACCAAACCUCUUUCGAUGAUGUCCCCGAACCGUCUAUUCUGAUAGGAGUUUAAUCUAAUCACAUCGAGAUGCUUGGCCAUGCCAACACAAACACUCAGAUUCCAGACUUGACGUUGUUUGGGAUCCACUCAACGAAGUAGGACUGGAGAAGCUCUGGCUUGUGGUAGUGACUAUGAGAUCAAUGUUGGAUUCAGUGAAAACGAACAAAGAAAAAGCUAACAAGAAGAAGAAGGACAAGAAAGAAGAGAGUUUGAUGAACUAUAUAGUUAACCUGUUAGAUAGAAGAUGUUUAUACCUCAGCUGUUGGAAUGAUGUUUGAGUCAUGUGUUCUGGGAAGAUGCUUUCUCUUUAAGUCUCUUGCAUUUAUUUUGGUGACAUCGACAAUACUUAUAAUAUCCAGAAACUUCUCAGUAUGUCAUGAGCUAUAUUACAUUUUCAUUCUGUUAUUUUCUUCUUCUUUUUUUCUGUAUGAUUUAGUGAUUAAUGGUGGGAACUAUGUGUUCUAUCAUUGCAGUUUUUUACAUCUGCUAGCCAUAUUUAUCUUAUGAGAGUUGGUAAAUUUAGAUAUUAACAAUUACUGGCAGAUAUACACCGAGUAGUCACAAUUUUAUGCCAUGUGCACUCUCCUUUGUAUGAUUCAUAUAAUUCACCAUUGGUCUAGACAGAAACAUAUUUGUUCUUCUGCUAUGGGAGAAUGAUACUUCAUGUGGCUCUGUAAGCCCUAAGGAAUUGCUUUCUUAUGUUUCACUUUUCUCUAAAGAGUCCCAGUUAAGGCUUCUCUGAUCCAAUUCCAAUACAAACUCUCGGUUGCCACAAUGUGUGCGGUGAUUGUGUUUUUGAGAUUAAGUGAUUUCUAUUAUUUACUUAGCUAUCAGAUUUUCAAAGCUAUUGUUCACAAAAUAGUUUCUUUUUUUGUUAUAUCAAUUUCCAAAAAUAAAGGCUACAGCUAAAUAUGUCUUCUCAAAGUAACACAUAUAGGAAAGAGACUAUCCAAAUACAAUUAUGAAGCUUCUAACUUUUUUUUUUUAACACCGAAGGAUUUCAUUGAUUAUAAACUUAGAAAAGAUUUACAAGUUGUGAUCAUAUGCUAGCAAGUUAUAAAAACUUCUAGAAACUAAGCCAACAGGAAUAACAUUCCUUUGGAGUUAUAGGCCGGCAGAUGCGAACUGAAUCUCCGGAGACAAGAGAGAUAUAAACUAAACCAAAAGAUCAAGUACACACAAUACAUGAAUCUAGAUCAAAUGAGCAAAAACACCCAUGCAAGAGGAAGGACCAAAGGAAGACGGAUAAGAUAGAACACAUCCACAGUCGAACUUAAUUUGGGUAGAACCGCACCUCAUUAUAUUGCUUUGAAGAUUACUUCACAAGCCACCGAGGAUGAAGCAGUACAUAACCCAAGAAGAUGAUGAGCACAGCUUUUAACAAUCAACUUCCACGACCGGAUGUAAAGAGCCAAAUCCGUCCAAGAUAAUCACAUUUGAGAUCCCUUGCGUAGAGGCAACAAGAUACAAAGAUUAAACCAUAAUCAUACCGUUUCAAGCGAGAUCGGGGAGAUGCAACCUUCAAUCUAUGGUAGAACCUCUACAAUAAGUGAAACAUGAAAAGCACAGCCAGAUCGGGGAGAAGGGAGAACAACGAGAGGAUCUAACGGAUCCUUGAAACGCAGAAGUCGAAACAAGGCCAAAAGACCAUCUGAAGAAACCCGAAGAGAAGAGGAAACGCCAUAACAGAGGAACAACAUCAUGAUAUAAGCACGCCACCGACUGAUCCAUCACCGACAUGCCUCGAACCUCAAAAGAAUCUGGAAUUCAAGAUCUAGAUCCAACUAUUGGAGACUUAAAACCUUAAGAAAACAUGCAAGCAAAGAGAAUGGAAGACAAGACCGGACCGACGGUGGCUGAGGAAGCACACACCGUCGGCCGGUAACACGCAAACAGAUCGGAAAACGAGAAAGCUUAGAGAGAAGGGAGAGCAAAUGACUUUAGAGAGAGGUUUUUGAUCUGAUUAAUCUCAUGUAUGCAGCUUCUAACUUAAUUUGACACAAAUAAAUCAAUCUCGAUUUGUUUUUGGAAAUAAAAAGAUUAUGAAAAAUGUAAUUGAUCAAAAAUUAUCUAAACAAUUACUCAAAACAGUUAGAAGGUAUAUGCCUUUUUUAAAUAUUUUAGUUUUUAAGAUAAUAAAUUCUAAAAAUAUUAAUAAAAUAUUAAUAAAAUAAGUAAUAAGAGUUUCUGACAGAAAUAACUGAAAUACAGUGAUAUAUUUGGUUUAAAACAAACUAAAAAUUUGUAAGUAAUUUAUUAUAAUUUUAUCAAAAUUUAAGUUAUGUUUAUAUUGUUUUUUAUUCGCUUACCCGCCCUAUCCUUGUCUUAUCUUAUAUAUAUAAAGUAGAGUUAUGCUCUACACACAGCCUUCCACAUCAUCAGGAAGCAUGGGGCUUCUUCUGCCACGUGGCACUCCCAAACACCAAUCGAUCUGCAUUUUAUUUAUGGCUUUUUCUUGGACUGGGCUUUUGUUAUAACUUGUGGAUGGGGUUUUUAAAACAAAAUGGCAAGCCCAGCCAGGAAUCUGAACUGAAUCCACCACUUCAUCUUCAUCGUUUGCAUCGGAGACGUUUCUCAACCUUCUGUUUCUCUAAAGUAACCUCGGGUUACGACCAUUUUUUCUCAUUAAAAUCCGUCUUCACUCCUUCAAUCGAAAGAGCUAUCGUUCUAACUCACUUUUGUUUAUCAAAAUAUAGAAACACAUCCUCUGAUUCUAUUCUCCACGCAUCAUACACGACAAAUACAGCACGGCGAAAGAGGCAUACUUAUUGGGUUAGAACUACUCUCAUGGACAAGAAGGUAUGGACCCGUAACUCUGAUGAGAUUAUUUGAUUCCCUCAGAUUCUAAACGCCUUACUAUUGUUUCAGCUAAUUCACCAUAGCCAUCACUUAAUUCUUCAGUGAUGUAUCUCCAAGCUUGGUACGGAGCUGUGAACCAGUGAAUCCAUUUCAGUUAAACAACAGUCUCUGAAGUCAAGCAGGUAUGAGCCUGUCGCUGCUUCUACUCACUAGCGGCUCGAAUCAUGGUAUGUAUAUCCAUUCUGUUACUCCUCCUCUCCUUAUAUCUGAACCGUCUAUUUCUGCAAUCUUUGUUUCUUUCUUAUUUUGCUUUGUGGGUUAUUUUUCCGAUGAUCUGAUAUCUGAAAAGUUCUUUCUGUUUUAUUUGGUCGAACCUGGUAAUAUAACUUCUUUCUGUUUAAUUGUAAUUGAUCAAAAUUGUUUAGUUAAGAACAUAGGAUGCUCAACUUUGUGUUUGAAACUGUAACGUUUCUGAGAAUAUUGUAAUGUAAAAGUUGAAAGAUUGCAUUUUUAGGGUUCCUUGAUAAGAAUAAAAGCCUUAAAAUGGUUAAUGAUCCCAUAAUGUUUAGUUAAGCGUUGUGUUAGAGACUGUAAAGUGGCUAACGUUUGUCACUAGGUGUCUACAAGAUUGCUUGAUCCUUUUCUUGCUCACUUGAAGACAUCACAAGAUUAAGUUGCUAAAGGUGGCUGCGCAAUUGUUCUCAAGCCCGAUAUAAGAUUUUAUAUCAAUAUAAGAUUGUUUUUAAAUGAUACUUUUUUAACACACUGAUUAAAAUUGAGACUCUUUUCUUCUUUGUUAUCUUUAGGUUUCGAUUUGUGAGCAAUCCGGAUGUCCUAGAACGUGUUUACACUUUACAAACUGAGAUAAUGCAUAUCAAGGAAAAAUUGGUAUAUAGAACAAUUGUGUAGCGGCUGUAAAUGUUGUCAGUAAGCUUUUAUUUUUGUAUGUACAUUGUUUAGUGAAUUGACAGUUUAAACGUUCUAUUGUAUCAGUCAGGUGGAUGAUGAUCAACAACCAAAAAGUUCAGAGAGUACAUAAGGUGUUUUCUUGGUGCCAAAACUUUUAGAUGUCAGUCACUAAGAUGUUGUUUGCCUCUUGGCCCUUGAUCAUACAAUUUAACCGGUGCAGUCUGGGCUUUUCCAAAGCCAGAUGUUUGUUUACAAAUCAAGUCUCUUUCUUUCUUUCAUCACCCUCUCUCUCUCUCUCUCUUCAUAGCUUGAUCAAUAAAAAGGAAAAUGAAGUUGCAAGUGUUGUAAAUACAUUUCUGGUGGUAUAUUCAAGGUACUUAUUCAUCUUGACCAUGACCAAUUAUUCAUUUCUCAGUGCAUUGCUCUGUCUUCCAGAUCCGAGAAGUUCUUAUCCUUUUAUUUUUUUCAGUCUUUGAUCUUUGCCUAAAUCUACUAAUUAGAAAUUGUGUGUGAAAUUGUGCUUCUUUCUCUGUUUAUUGUCUAUUCACAUGCCUGUUUGUGUGUGAAGAUAAGAUCUAUAUCAUUCUUUGAUAUUGAGAAACAUGCAACCGCAAAUUCCAGGUGGUCUAGAGCUUGUACAAGAGCAUUAGGGUUGGUAAAGGUUUGUCAAGGAUGGAAAGGCACAACAUCUUGCUUUACAACACCCACUUGAGGCAGUAAGUUAUAGAGAGACUAAUCUCAGCUUCAGUUUCCUUUUAAUUCGACUUUUUGGAUUGAGCCUAAUCUGAUCUUGGAUUAUGCACUUUGUUGCAACAUAUUGACCCUAGACAUUGGUAUGGACACAACCUGCAUUCUUACUACAAGUUGCUCCACUGUCAGAGUAGAGACCCGUACUUCUACUGGUAAUUACUUCUCACUGACUCCUUUUUCCCAUUUAUGUAAAAAGGUUUGAGCUGAAUCUUGAAAAAUAAACUUAGAUGUACGUUUGCUCGAAGUGUUACAGGUUUGAUAAAUUGGCAAGGAGUAAGAAGUAAUAAUGUCGAUAACUUAGAAACUUAUUUUCUUUUUGUUGUCAUGUUUAUGCUGUGUGUAUAUGUAAAGGAAAGCUUAAGAGGGUGUUGUGGAAGACGGAAAAUUGUUCUACAAGAACAGUGGAGAAAUGCUUCAAACUUCUACUAUGGACAAUAAUGAUUCCAAAUGGAUCAUGGUGCUCAGAUGUUAUACGUUGGGAAGAAGGGUACUUUCAACAUUCAAGGUUUUUAGCUGGAGAAGCUACUGUUUCUGCAUGGGGAUUUGUUGUUGAGAAUGGUGUUCUUAGGGCUGUUUGGCCAUGGUCCGUGCUUGAUUGCAACUUUUUAAAUUUUAGUAUAGUAGAUUUUAUAAUUAAAAAAAAACAGUUUUCAGUGUGUUGUGAGUAUUGUUAAGAGCUAAUAAUAAAUUCGUGAAAAGUUUGUCUUAAAAAAGCUUCAGAAAAUAAAUGAGAUAUUUAGAAAAGUACAUUAUUCUUAUUUGGUUUCAGGUAUGGGUUCGUCGUACAUAGCUGCCAAAAAUACUGUUGAUGCUAAGGGUUGGUCUAAAAAGGGCAUCGGUCAUCAAACUAAGCAACAUGAACUCAUAUAUAUUUUAAGACCCUCUUUAGAUUCUUUAAAACCGUAAAUAAGAAAUCCAUUGUCAGUUAAAAAUGGCAAAUCAGUGAUUUUGAAGGCGAACACAACGUUUGAAUCAAUUGUGAUAAACAAAUUAGUUUUACACGAAACCAAAUAUGAAAGAUAGAAGACCAUUUAGAUUAUAGUCACAAUUUAUUUAAGUAUGUAUUCAUCUUCCCUUUGCCUCACAUUCCAUCUAUAUAUUUGGAUGUUAAAAAACCAACAAAUUUUGGGUUUUGAUCAUGAAUUAUAUUCUUAUGAUUAUAAUAUAUAUACAUAAAUCUAUUAUAAUAAUUAGGUUUAACAUAAUAAAAUUAACCACAAUUAUAUUAUACUGAUAAAAUUAUUUUUACUUAUUUUCUUUCCUACAAGGUUAAAAAAUAUUAAAUGAUAAAAUAAGUCUGUGUAUAUAUUUAUCUAAUAAAUGAAGUAACAUUUGUUAAAUAAUAAGAUAAAUAUGUGUAUAUAUUUAUCGAAUAUACGUAGUAAAUAUUAUCAUUAUCUAAAUUUUAUCUUUUAAUGUUUUUUUUAGUUAUUACAAAAAUAUAUUUAUGAAAUUUUUUUCUUCUCAUGGAUCUCACAUUAAAAGUUAAACUGGUUAAAAUUAUUAUUACUCUUAAUAGUGAUUAAGUUUAUCAGUAUAGUAACUACAAAUGUAUUAUAGUAACAAAAUUAUCAUCACUAUAUUUCUUUCAAAAAAGAUUAAAACUUAUAAGAUAUAAUAUAAAAAUGUGUAUAUAUAUUUAUCGAGUAAAGCAAAAAAAACAUUAUCAUUAUUUCAAUUCGUUCUUCUUUUAAGUUAUCAUAAAAUUUAGUUUUUAAUUUUAUCUUUUAAAUAUGUAUAAAUAAAAAUUAAUUUAAUUCAAAAAUUAAUAUUUUAAAUUAUACUCAACCACCGCAAAGAACUCAACCAUCUUCGCCAAUCUACAGAUGAAAACUAUGACAACAACACAUUUUUCUUAUGGUAUUUUAAUAUUGUGCAUAAGCAAUUUAGAGGGAAAAUAAUAGUUGGAUAACUUAUCCUGAAAAAAUAGUCAAUUCCGGUCCAAUCAAUGUUGGACCAUGAUUAAUAAUUCAAUUACUGGAUUAGAAUCAUUUUGAAGACAGCGUAUGUAACCAAUACGUCUACAACGAAGCUCCUAACAAAUUGCCACAUCGACAUUCAAAGCAUGCGAGGGUUGUUGCUAUUUUAAGAGGAUGAACGGAUUUACUAUCUUCCUUCGAA